AACCUUCGUGUCUUGUGAUCUCCC
rnacentral:siRNA from 1 species